CAGACAGACACACAGACGCACACACAGUGUCUGUCUCUGAGAUUUAGUAAUCUGAGACACCAGAACUGCAGAUUUUUUCAACACUGGCUUUUUUUCAGGUUCCUCUUUUUUGUUUUAGACAAUUGGAAAUAAAUGAUGUACUUUCUUGGGCACAAGUGGAUAUUUAUCUAACAACAGUAAUUUAACAACUCCUGACAAAGAACUCAUGCCAGCUGGAAGGCUCAAGUAAUUGUGAAACGUAUAUUCAAUAAAAGAGAGGGAAUCUACAAAGCAUUACUGUGACUGCUGCUAUCUGAUUUUUGAAGAUAUAGCUAAUUCUGCUACCACGUAUCAUAAUGCAUAUGAUGGCCCUUUAAGCAUCACGGUGUAGUGUCAGGUGGCACAUUAAAAGGUUGAUCAGUAAAAGAGUUCCUGGCAUCUGUUUGGUUGUCUGAUUGGUGGCUGCAUAUAAUGAAUACAAGUUUUUGCCCUUUAUUACCACACCCUUUUGAAAACAAAUGCCUACCUUAUCUUUGGGCUGAGACUGAAAUGGGACAAUUGUGAUCAGUGCUUCACCAUGGAUAAUAAAUUCAAAUAAAUAAGAAAGAAUGAGAGAAGGAGAGAAAGAAAUAAAGAAGGAAGGAAAGAAAAAAAGAAA